AUACGUAGGGUGCGAGCGUUGUCCGGAAUUACUGGGCGUAAAGAGCUCGUAGGUGGUUUGUCGCGUCGUCUGUGAAAUUCCGGGGCUUAACUCCGGGCGUGCAGGCGAUACGGGCAUAACUUGAGUACUGUAGGGGAGACUGGAAUUCCUGGUGUAGCGGUGAAAUGCGCAGAUAUCAGGAGGGACACCGGUGGCGAAGGCGGGUCUCUGGGCAGUAACUGACGCUGAGGAGCGAAAGCAUGGGUAGCGAACAGGAUUAGAUACCCUGGUAGUCCAUGCCGUAAACGGUGGGCGCUAGGUGUAGGGGUCUUCCACGACUUCUGUGCCGUAGCUAACGCAUUAAGCGCCCCGCCUGGGGAGUACGGCCGCAAGGUUGAAACUCAAAGGAAUUGACGGGG
rnacentral:rRNA from 1 species